rnacentral:rRNA from 1 species
UACGUAGGGGGCAAACGUUGUCCGGAUUUACUGGGUGUAAAGGGUGCGCAGGCGGCUUCGCAAGUCAGACGUGAAAUCCCCGAGCUUAACUUGGGAAUUGCGUUUGAAACUACGAGGCUAGAGUGUGGCAGAGGGAGGUGGAAUUCCACGUGUAGCGGUGAAAUGCGUAGAUAUGUGGAGGAACACCGAUGGCGAAGGCAGCCUCCUGGGCUAACACUGACGCUCAUGCACGAAAGCGUGGGGAGCAAACAGG